UUUUUUUUAGACGCAGUUUCCGCUUCUGCGUGCUUCAUGCUGCCUCAUUGUCCUGGUGUAGGUUUAGCAGAAUAAAUCUCAGCAGUUCAGAUUUAGAUUGCUAUUCACUUGCAACUUCAAUCACAAUUCCUCUCCCAUCAGCGCUGGCUGGGGAGGUGCUUGGCAGUGGGGAGGGGAGAGGGUAAGCCCAGCCAGCAAGGUAAUUUCUGCAGGCUGCCUUCUUAGGUAAGAAUGAUUGCUUUGCUCAGAACUUCAGACACCCUAACCCUGGGUCCAGUGGGUCACGUUUGACCUCUAGAAAUGACAUUGGAAACCCAGGGUGCAACAGAGACCCAGCAGAGGAAGAACUGACUCUAGGAUUGGAAGACAGUGUAGACUGGCCAGUAUUCUUUCUGUAAAGGAAAACGAACUCCUUAAGUGGUUUAUCUUCAUAAUGGUGCCUGAGGCUCCAGCUGAUAAGGGAAGUUGCAGCCCGUGUAAGAAUACCAGUUCCACUGGGCAACAGGAAAUGGGGGUCCUUUAUCCAUGAGGGCGGGGGAGGGGGUCUUGUCUAAAACUUGGCAUUUGAUCAGCCUUGUUUCUUCAGCUUUAGAGUGUAUCCCUCGGUUGUAAAAAAACUGUUUUCUAAAGUGAAGGGCUUCUUUAAGAAAACAAAUGAAUGAGUAUGAGCCCUACGUCUUUCUCUCCAAGUGUGUUAGACAAAGCCAUGCCUCCGGGAAUAGUCCAGCUGCUCUGAAUGUUAUGACAAAGGAAUACAAGUUCAGGGACAUGAACUCGAGAUGCCAGACGUUCUCAUGACCCCUGUGAGAAAGAUAGUAGGGCUCUGGUUUCCAGGCUCGGGUUUACUUUCCCCCAAAAGACAGAUCAUCAGUCAGGCCCAUUGAAUUCUCUGUAUCACCCGUUAGCUCCUGCAGGAGCAAAGGGUAUAAUACGUGACCCACUGGUGUUUCUGCAGCGGUGCUUUAAUUGGGUCUGUUAAUGGAGAACAUCAGGGAAGAAAGGGGACCUGGCUCCUCCCCCUGGCUAAUCAGAGGACAGCCGUCAUCCUUGUUUGAUUUUUUUUUUUUCGCCCCGUACUUGCCACUGAGAAAUAGUAGAUUUAGAAGCUUCUCUCCACGUGAAAUGUCUCCUCUCUCAUCAUAGAGAGCUUUGCAUCAGGAAGACAGUUAUGCUGCGGCUCAGAAGCCCAUAAUUUAGUCAAAGUCCACACAGUGGAGGGAUAAAUCCAAUGGCUUAAGAAUUUUUUUUUUUUUUGGUCUUUUUAGGGCUGCACCUGCAACAUAUGUAGGUUCGUGGGCUAGGGGUCACAUCGGAGCUACAUCUGCCAGCCUACACUACAACCACAGCAACUCGGGAUCCGAGCUGCAUCUGUGACCUACACCACAGCUCACGGCAACACUAGAUCCUUAACCCACGGAGCAAGGCCAGGGAUUGAACCCGCAACCUCAUGGUUCCUAGUCAGAUUUGUUUCUGCGGCGCCACAAUAGGAACUCCAGCUUAGAGAAUUUUUUAAAAAUACUAAACAGUGAUGAUGAUUGUUGUACAACUAUACAUGUAAUAAAAUUCAUUGAGUAAUUAAAAUUUUUUUUAAUUUAAAAAAGAAACAGUGAAAUAAAUUAAUAAGAGCUAAACUUAAAAAAAAAAAUGCUAACAAUGGGUCCCACCUCCAGGGAUUCUGAAAAAUAUUUGUCUAGAGGUAUGACCUAUGCGUUAGAAUAUUUUAAACCUCCCCGGGUAAUUCAAGUGUGCAGACAAAAUUGAGAACCACUGCUUAGGAAAGACAGAAACAGCAUCUUAGACAUGAGGCUGGAGCUAAAAAUGUCUGCUGUACUGGGGUAGGCAUUCUAGUCAUCCCCCCAGUACCAGGAAGAGAGAUGGAUGUGUGGGGGCAGAGGCAGCAGAGUUCAGCCAAGGCUGGGAACCAAACCGUCACACUAAUUGCCCAUGAGGAUCAUUGUGGGAGUAAGGGGUUGACUCUUAUGUGCUGGCUGGCAGUUGCUCUGUGUGUUUAAAUCCCAACUCUCCAAAUGGAGUGUAAACUCCCUUAGAGUGUCAGACGCCAGCCCCCGGAACGUGUCUCCCACCUUCCCCAUAAAAUGCUAUGCUCUGGAGUGCGGGGCCUGUAGUGAUCCUCUGAUAACCUGCCAGGCUGUAGAGCAAUGGCACGUGGUGACGGCGCGUGAAGAGGAUGGGAGGCUGGGGGGAGGCCUUCAGCUGGAGGCGUGGGUCAGCCCUGGAAAGGGUAAUGUUUUCAUGUUCAUUCAUUGCACAAGCCGUCCUGCUUUCAUAUCUGAAAGGGAUGUGCUCGUGUUGGACGUCCCCAAAGCCACCCUUUCCUGGCAGGUCUCUUGACCUCUUCCCGCAGGGUUAGCUGUCUGUGCUUUUCCUCUGGUGCAGGUACACAGGCGUCUGCUGCUGGUGAGAACGGCCCUGGCAGAAAAGCGUUAAGGAGAUUCACUGGGUCCUGAGGGUUGUGAUUUUGAGGUUGAUACUAAAUCCCUCAGAGUGAGGAGAGGGAGCAGACUUCACAAGUCAGCAGAAAAGCUGCCAAGAAUGUACUUGCCAAAUGGCUGUGUCCAUGAUACUCCAAACUUUGGUAAUUUUCCUGUGUGUCUGAUUGAAAAAUCAUAUUUGUGGUGUCAGGCAAGGCAAGAAUAAAGAAAUGAUACACUUAAUAUCUGUACGCACAUGGGCAGUAGAAACUUUCACAGCUUAAAGAGUUGUCCUGCCAAAGUUGAAAAUCACAAAGAGUAAACAGCUUUGCUCACAAUUUUGUUGGAAAUCCAGCAAGAGUCCUGGUAGCCAAGUUGCAGAAAGGGGAGAGACGCUAAAGACUGAAGUUUGUUGAGCAUUUCUUUGAUUUAUACAAGUUGUUUUGUAAAGGGUGGAUCAUUUAAUACUUGCCACACUCUAUGUUACCCAUGUAGAUAUUUUCAAAAUGCAAGUAGGAGACUGUAACCCAUUUUCUUUAAGUCCCUCAGUGGCUUUCCAGAACUAUUUGGAAUAGAGAACCCACACUUUGACAUGGCACAUGGGUCUUGCCUAGGCUGACUGCAUGCUACCUGUGGUCAGUCUGUUCUGACCAUGGCGGUUCUUGAGGGGCCCAUGCUCCUCCCACCUCAGGGCACUUGCACCCGUGCUUCUCUCCCCUGGAACCCUGCCUCCCACUCCUCACUCCAAAGCCUCCAAAUGCCCUUUAACCUCUUCCUUCAGAUUCCAAGGAAAGUCUCAAGGUCAGGGGCCAGGCAGCAGACUGAAACCAUAUCAGUCAUUUGAACCAAGGGGCUAUAAUAUAACACAUUAUCAAAUAAGUGCCAAAUUAAUAACUGGAUAACAGAAAGGAUGGACUAGAGAGCAGAAGAGAGCUUGGAAACUACAGCCCAGGGACAAAAUCUAGCUCAGGGUCGGUUUUGGGUGACCAAUGAGCGAAGAAUGGGAUUUACCUUUGUAAAAGGUUAUUUAAAAAGAAAAACCCAAAAACUAGCACGUGACCCACAAAGUUGGAAAUAUUUACUAUCUAGCCUUGACAGAAAAAGCUUGACCACCUCUGCUCUUUGGCAUCACAGAGGUAAGAACUGUAGCCACCACCUCCGGGACUCCAGGAACACACGUUGGAGUGAUUACAACUUGGUAGCUUAAAGAAGGGGUAGAGCCGAGGCCCCGCAACCCAUACCUCUGAGGAGGGGGCAUGAGUGGCGGGUGCUGCUGUCUCAGAGGCUGGGGGUGAUGAAGCUGCUUCUACGGGCGGCAGGAAAACCACACACUCUCCCGAGCUGCUCUCAUGGGAAGGAACUGCUGCUGCCCAGGUGAAGAAGCCAUGAGUUUGCCCUGGUCCCACCCAGGGUAUGUGAGGCCUCCAGAGGUCACUCCAGGGUAGACAGGAAGGAACAGCGUCUUCUCUCCCACCAGGCGUUCCGUCUCCCUCCAUCCUACCCUCUUGCUAGAGCCCACCAUAAAGGCAAUCUGCAAAGCAAAAAUGUGUUUCUCAGAGCACCCGCCCGCAAGUCACAGCACACACCAUUAGAGGAGUAGGUUUGGAGGAUGAUAAAGUAAUAACUAGCAGCAGAAACCUUCCCUGAACUCCUUGAUGCGCUCAGUGUCACCCAUCCGUCGUAUCUUUACGGUAGGUACUCUGUGUCUUUUCUCCGCAGCACUUACCGCGGUUAACGGUAAUAGCAGGCACUUACCUAGCACUGCUGUGGGGCGGCUGUUCUGAGAUGUAAUCAUGUCUCUCCAUUUAAUCCUCACCACCCCCUUGUAUAUUUUUCCCAUUGUAUACAUAAUUAAAAGGAGGCACAGAGAAGUUACAUAACUUACUCAAGGUUACACGCAGCUGAUAGGUAGAACCAGACUUUGAACUUGGACAGUUUUGUUCCAGGGUCUGGAUUCUUACCGCCAUGGUAUUGCCCCUCCGUGUCAGGUUUAUGUGUGUGAAUCUUGGUGGCUGUGUGUCUCCUGAAGUAGACUGACUUCAUGAGGGUAGACUUUGGGUUUCUUCCUGCUGAUCACAGCGUCCCCUGCACCUGCCACAAGGUCUGCCCGCAGGAGGGUCUCAGUAAAUAUUUCUCUGAAUGAAUGAAUAAAUGGACGAGAAACUGGAGUCAUUGGAAAGUUAAGCCACCUGUUAGCUGUCAGAGCUGAGACUCUACCCGGGUCUCUCUGACUCCAGAGCCCACACUCUUCCCAGUCAUGAGCUGGCAGACAAGUGCUUUCUAGCCAGUGACACGGAGUGACAGCCGAGGCACUGGAAAUUCGUCACUGCUCUCUGUGUUUUGAAUAAGUGGUUGUGUUCCUUGUGGUCUUCAGGGUAUCCAGAAUGUGUGAGAUAUACAUGCAUAAUUCACCAAUCCCUGCUCACGCCAUGUGAGAAAAAUCACUGUGCCAAGCACAGUCCCCAAGCCCAGGAGCUGGCUCCUCUAGCCAAGUUUUCUCAGACACAUAGCAAGUUAACUGACUAUAGGUGUGUCCUGUGAGGAGUUUGGCGAUGGGACAGGGCUUCUUGUACCUUUUAUUGCAUAUGCUGUUCAAGGGUUUGGAUUUUUUUUUUUAAACAAUGAGCAUGCUAAAAAUGUUUUAUUUACGGCACUGAGAAACAGUGAUUCUUUUAGGAAAUUUGAACAAAACUGAAUGAUGCUCAUAACUUGAAGACAACAUUCUUGCCCCCCUAGCAUGUCAUCUUCUAACUCUCUCUACCCCACAGAGCUCAAAUACUUGGAAGGCUCCACAGGCUGCCUAUUGUCCUUUCUCCAUACCUGUGCAACACCGUGCACUCAGGGUAAAGCCAGCAUCCCCACGGUGGAAUGUGAGGUGCUCUGGGAUACGCCUGCAGAGCAGCCCAUGUGCCCUUUCUCUAUUCCGCUGGCUGGUGCCAGCGUAGAAGCUUAAAGGAAUCACAGGGAAAAAACAGAGAAAGGCAGAUGGGCAGUAGGGUUCACAAACAUUCAUCCAUUCAAUUCACCUUUCAACCAACCAAGAAAAUAUAGUCACUCAAUGUAAUCAGCUGAGUUUUCUACAUGGGCUCUUUCACCCGAUGAAAUUCAGCCUUCAUUUCCUUCAUUGCUAUUCCCAUGGACAAUAGCAGCUCCAAAAACUCUAUGUUAGGUGUGGCUCAGGACUGAAGUCUGGUUGGAUGAGGCAUUGUGGGGGCACAGGGCGGUGGGGGAAAUACAGGGGUGAUCUCAAAACUAUGUGUGUAGUAACCAUAUUAUUUUUACUUCAUUUAUUGAGUUGGAAGGAUCUGUCUGAGAAU
rnacentral:lncRNA from 1 species